AUAACGACUCUCGACAACGGAUAUCUCGGCUCUCGCAUCGAUGAAGAACGUAGCUAAACGCGAUACUUGGUGUGAAUUACAGAAUCCCGUGAAUCAUCGAGUCUUUGAACGCAAGUUGCGCCCGAAGCCAUUAGGCCGAGGGCACGUCUGCCUGGGCGUCACGC
rnacentral:rRNA from 1 species